rnacentral:lncRNA from 1 species
UCAGUAAUGCUGCUGUUUAGGAGGUGAGGGGCAAGAAGUUCUUCAUCACCUACAAAGGUAGGUGUUAUCAGACCAGUAAAACCUUCGAUACAAAAGUUCACAACAUUACUGACACUAAAAAUGAUCCUCAACUUACUUUAGGCCUCAAAAUCAUCAGGAUGUCUGGAUAAAAAAAAUGAAAACAGAAAUAUUUUAUGCUAAUUUGCCAGAGUUGUCAACAAGGUACUGCUGCAGUUUACAUCCAUCCAUCAACACCAACCAUGUUCAGACAAAUACAUAAAGAUAAACUGAGUAACUAUAACUUAUUUAGAGUACUCAUUCUUUAAUUUAAAUUGUAACUCAUAACAUAUUUCCUGCAAAGAUGUGGGAACUUUAAUAGUUGUCAUUGUUUUGGGAAACUGCAGCAUCUAAUGGAAUCAAACCGCACUCACUUCCUCUAGGUGUUUUUGUUCACAGGAGGGAUUCUGUAAGGGCACCACCCCCAGUUGUCUCCCUGCCAGCUUGUGCAGCCAAUUAAACAACAACUAUCAGACUUUUAUUUUUCCUUUUGUGAACAUUGUUCUUUAAAACCCAAUUGGCAGUCGAGUCCCAUAAUUUCCCUGUAUAGCAUGAAGCAGCAUGAGGUCUUUCUUCCCCACCAGGGGCAUUCUGUCAGUGUCUGACGUCAUUUGGAAACCAGCACCAACUAACUGUACAGAGCUUGUUUUUUUACUUGGAUCGACUGUGUUCACACAUAAAAUAAGCCCUUGAGUGGCAUAAUCAAAAACUCCUCUGAUGUGUCAGGAACAAACCAUGGCACAAUUCUUAGGAGAACAUGGGGGUAGUGACAAAGAGUGGCUUCAGGCUGUGCUUUAGGAACAAUCAACAGAGGCUGCAUCUUUGUUUCUGUGUAUCAAUGCAUCCCACAGGGAUGCUGUGCUGGGCCUCUUUUCUUAGCAGCUAUGCUCAUGCCUGAGAGUUUGGCUAAUUCCAACACAGAAAAAUUCCUCAUUCUAGUGCACAGCACACUCACAUCACCACAAAGCCUCACACACACAAAGUAUGGCGCUAUCAACCUAUCACCUCUAAUGGGAACAAAAGGUCAGGCCUUAAUUAUUCAUUCGGGAUGUCAAACAAUGCCGGCCGGCUGUUAUUUAGGGUGGGGGAGACCCAUUGAAUUAUUCAGAGGGCAGGAUUCUCUUUCCUUAGAAAAAGCAGCGCAGUGGUUCAGAUGUUUGUGAGAGUCUUAUCUGCGCUCCAUGGCCCGCUGUCAUUCCUGAGCUGACCUUGGCUGUCACUGCUGCGGCAGCACGGGUGGCACAGAAGGUGGCAGGGACUCGUGUUCUUCCCGUAUCUGCAGGCCUCCUCCACACAGACAGAGUGAGUAGGAAGCACUACAGGGAGCUGGCUGCUCCUCGGCUAAGUUCCCUCAGUGUCUGUUUACAGUACAGCAUGUGCCACGCUGUGCCAGCCUGCUGCCAAUGUAUGAGAAACUACAGAUUAUUCUCCCACAAUGACUUAUUCUGCUUUUCACCCGAGGUAUGUUUCUGUAUUGGUACACUUGCCAUGUCAAUUGCUCUUAAGCGGCUUUCUUAAGAUGUAAGGGGUGUUUAUUGCAGCUGAAGAGGCAAAAGCAGAUAUUAAUGCUAUUAAAGUGCAUUAAAGUGAAGAAUGCUGUAAUGUGAGUCACUUCCAGGGAAGGAUUAGAGGGAGGCAGCAUAGGGAGGAUUCAGAGCUAGGAGAGAAAAUGUUUGUCUCGUUAUGUGAGAGGCAGCAGAGGAAGAGAGAGAGAGAGAGAGAGAGAGAGAGAGAGAGAGAAGGCGAGACCACCCCACUGCUGACUCUAUCCCGUGCUGAACAAUAAGAGAGGUACACACACAGAUACAGUACACGUCUUAUCACACAGGGGAUGGCAAGCAGCCCAGAGGAAAUCAAAUCAGAGGCAUGUUUGUCAUUUUAAAUGCAAUCGACAGAAUGAUCCCAUCUUCUUAUGGCCAAUACCUCUCUGCUGUCAGUGCUGUAACACUCGAUAAGAGCAGCAGAGAUCACUCUGACUGUGACUGCUCUGCAAUUAGAGAUAAAAUAUGAUGAUCUAUACUUAUAGAUGCAGGAAGGGAUGACUCCAGCAGCAUUAUAAGAUCCUCCUGCUGAAUGCAAAGAAGUUUUAUACAGCUGUCAUAUGACACUUACACAUGUCGAAUGGGCCUGAUAAUACGCUAAUCACAUGUUGAAUGGGUCUGAUAAUAAGCUAAUCCCUGAUAAGUAGUUCCCAAUACCUCUAGAUUGAUGAACAUAUUACUAAAUCAUUAGAUAAUGAUUAGAUCACUUUACCUGGAAGCACUUAAGUGAUAACUUAUGAUCUAGUAAUUAGCUUUUAAUGAUUCCUUACUAGAUUUGUGCCACUCAUUGGCUGAUUUAUUCCUCAUCUCCAACUUCA